rnacentral:rRNA from 1 species
AGAGUUUGAUCCUGGCUCAGGAUGAACGCUGGUCGGCGUGCUUAACACAUGCAAGUCGAACGUGAGGGUGCAGCGAUGUGCCUGAAAGUGGCGAACGGGUGAGUAACACGUAGAUGACCUGCCCUGGAGUGGGGGAUAACCAUUGGAAACGGUGGCUAAUACCGCAUACAUCCGGAGAACUGGGAAGUUUUCUGGGGAAAGCUCUGGUGCUUCAGGAGGGGUCUGCGUCCGAUUAGCUAGUUGGUGGGUAAAGGCUCACCAAGGCGACGAUCGGUAGCUGGUCUGAGAGGACGAUCAGCCACACGGGAACUGAGACACGGUCCCGACUCCUACGGGGGGCAGCAGUGAGGAAUAUUGGGCAAUGGGCGGAAGCCUGACCCAGCAACGCCGCGUGGAGGAAGACGGCCUUCGGGUUGUAAACUCCUUUUGACGGGGAAGAGAGAGGACGGUACCCGUCGAAUAAGUCACGGCUAACUACGUG